rnacentral:rRNA from 1 species
CGGAUGACUCUCGGCAACGGAUAUCUCGGCCCUCGCAUCGAUGAAGAACGUAGCGAAAUGCGAUACGUGGUGUGAAUUGCAGAAUCCCGCGAACCAUUGAGUCUUUGAACGCAAGUUGCGCCCGAGGCCUUCGGGUCGAGGGCACGCCUGCCUGGGCGUCACGC